CAUUGAUCCUUAAUGGACCAUCAUCUUUUGAAGAAAAGAGUAGUGUUGAGUCCAUAUUCUUAAAUUUUAUUAGAUCUGCUACUAUAUCUUUGAUGUGGGAGGUGAUUUGGAUCGAUCUACCCUCUUUGUUUAAAUAAGUAUUUGCUGUCAGAAUUCGCGGUAUUUUAUUUAUCAGCUCUUUUUUAAUUGGCAACGCACCGACGUUUUUUUUCUUUUUUAAAGAUAAAAACGAUUUAGCGAUUUCUCUUAUGCGCAUGCUCACAUCAUAAAUCAUAAACAGUCGUUCUUAUACUCCAGUAUAUCACAGACCGUUAACAGGCUUGCUCUGAGUCAUUAUUUACCAAAUAAUAUAUUAAUCACAUAGUAUUGAUUGAGAAUUAUCAAGAUGAAUACAUUUACUAAAGAAGAAAUCAGAGAGUUUAAUGUUCGUUUAUUGAAUGUGCUUGAACACGAUGAGUGCCGAAAUCACUUUAGACACUUCAUAAAACGUAAUCAUAAUAAUAAGGAAUAUGAACAGAGACUUCGAAUUUGGGAAAUUAAUUACCACAUGAAGAAAAACCCUGAAUUUGUAGAUGACCAGCAAAGAGAUGAAUUAGAAAAACUGUUGAAUCAGUUUAAUUAUGAAAAUGAAAAUAACUAUGAACUUAUAAACAUAAAGAGGUUGGAGGGUGAUCUGCACAUCGGGUUCAUGGCUUAUCUCGAGAAUCAGAACACAAAACAAAGAUAUAUGUGCAAAUUGAUGUAAAUAUAGUAUUAUUAUUAUUUAUAAAACACGUUAACAACGCCAUUUAAUUUUAGUGAGAUAUUUGACAUUUCACUCAUCUUACAAAAAAUGUUAACGUGUUAAUUAUUAUAAUAAAAGUAAGAUAUAUUUUUUUUUGUAAAAUUUUGAAAUAUUUAUAUAAAUUUAUAAGGAUAGGGGCCCUGGCUUUCGAGGUACUCAAGCUAAGACAUUUUAUAUUGUGUUUUUAUUUAAUGUCAUAUUUUUUUAUUAGAGGGCCCCAAAAACGUCUCGUCUGUAAUCACACUUUGAGAGUCAUUGAUUUAUUGUAUAAUAAAUACGUAUGUCGUUAG